GUAACACGUGGAUCCAUCUACCUUCUGGUGGGGAAUACCUGGGAAACCGGGGCUAAUACCGCAUUGAGCCCGCGAGGGGAAAGCAGCAAUGCGCCGGAAGAGGAGUCCGGGUGAUUAGCUUGAUGGUAGGGUAACGGCUACCAUGGGAAGAUCGGUACCGGCUGAGAGGGCACACGGCACACUGGCACUUGAAACACGGGCCAACUCCUACGGGAGGCAGCAGUGGGGAAUCUUGCACAAUGGAGGAAACUCUGAUGCAGGACGCCGGUGAGCGAUGAAAGCCCCUUCGGGGGUGUAAAGCUCUUUCGACGGGAACGAUAAUGACGGUACCCGAAGAAGAAGCUGCGGCUAACUACGUGCCAGCAGCCGCGGUAAUACGUAGGCAGCAAGCGUUGUUCGGAAUUACUGGGCGUAAAGAGUGCGUAGGCGGUGCUCUAAGUCUGUUGUGAAAUCUCCCGGUCAACUGGGAGGGUGCGGGGAAACUGGAGUG
rnacentral:rRNA from 1 species